UUCAUGGGGAAGAUCAGCCAGAGGAAAUCAAAAAGAAGAAAAGGACAAAGAAGAAUAACACAAUAGAGUCAAACCUGAAAAACAUUAAUGUCAGUAAAAUGGACCUAGAAUUUGAGGUGGAUCCCUUGUUUAAAGUUAUGUCUGCUGCAUUUGAUGAGGGAGGCAGUAGUGGUUUAUUGUUAAAUAAUCUACGGACCUUCGAUGAUCAACAAGACCUAAUUCUAGACUCCACCUCUGCUAUUGUUCAGCUGGAUCAUACAGAUGGCUUAUCACAGAGAAAGCCUGUAGAUAUGUCUGAAAUUAAAGG